rnacentral:rRNA from 1 species
GCAGUGGGGAGAAUAUUGCAAUGGGCGCAAGCGUGAUUCAGCCAUACCGCGUGUGUGAAGAAGCCCUUCGGGUUGUAAAGCACUUUCAGGUGGGAGGAUGGUUAAGUGUUAAUCCCGGUUUGCUUUGCCGUUCCUUUCAGAAGAAGCACGGCUAACUUCGUGCCAGCAGCCCCGGUAACCUUUUCAGGGAGAGAGGUUUGGAAUUUCUGGGCGUAAAGCGUACGCAGGCGGUUUGUUAAGUCGAGAGGUGAAAUCCCCGGGCUCAACCUGGGAAUUGCUUUUCGAACUUCCAAACUAGAUUUUCGUAGGAGGGAGGUGGAAUUUCAGGGGUAGGGGGGAAAUGCGUAGAAUUUUGAAGGAACCCCGGUGGGGAAGGGGGCCUCCUGGACAAAGAUCUGCCCUUCGGGUUGGAAAGCUUGGGAGCCAACCCGGAUUAGAUCCCCUGGUAUUCCCCCCCGUAAACGAUUAAUAGGCGUUGUUUGGCACUUGAUCCUUUCGGUCCCCAAGCUAACGCAUAAGU